AUGAGAACGCGGGGCAGGUGGGGACGGACAGGUGGAUGGGGCCAGAGCCGUGGAUCUGCAAGGGUUGGCGGGAGGGGAGGUCCAGCCGCAUUCUCCCUGGGGUUCCCAGGACGCGGUCUCCAGGCCCCGCUGAGUUGGGAGGGGCCAGGAGAAAAGCCCCCAAGGUCUCCGUCUAGAAACCUGCAAGGAAAGUGUGUCCUCUGGGCUGGGCUGGCGGAGAAUCGGAGAAUCGGCGUGGGGACCCCUGCAUGGCGGCGGGGGCUCCGGGAAUUGAGGCGGGGGGGGGGCCGGGCGGGUCUUGGGUGGCAAGCCCAGCCCGAGCGCCUCUGCCUGAGCCCCAGUUGCUCCAUCCUAAGAACACCUGCGUGGCCGCACGGCCUGGAGGGCUCUCUGGGCUUUCGGAGGAGCGGAGGCGGGCCCCCGCACUUCUCGCUCGGGCCACCCGGGCGGGUUGCGGGGGUUGGAGGGCCGGACCAGGGUGCAGGUCCGCAGGGUGGGGCCGAGGUGGAAGCCGCUCCGUUGCUACGGGCGGCUCUAGCAACGCACCCAUUCAGCAGAGACAAAGGCGCUGUCACUUGGCGCAGAGGCGCCGCCAGCGCUCUUGUUCCCGCAGCCACGCUGCGGGGCGGGGGCGGGGGCGGCUGGGGGGAGGGGCCGCUCAGGCCCCACUCGGUCUCCGGCCGGUGCCUGGCCCUGCGCCCUCCCGACCAGCCUGCAGGGGGCGCCCCAGGCCCGUUUUGCAGAAGGGGAAGCUGCGCUCCAAGGCACUGAGGCACCCGGCAUGCGUGGCGGCCGGGCCACACAGCCCCGGGUGCAAAUGCGUCCGCGCCUCCCUCGCCACGUUACUACCGCUGUGCGACUUGGGGGGGCUCGCCCCUCUGCGGUCCCUGGAUCAGAAGCUGCAGAUGUCUGGGCUUAGCUCGGAGCCCGGCCCCAGGUGGAGCUCCAGGAACCCGCUUCUUGCCCCUCAAGGGCGGGUUUGAGGCUGCGCCGGGUUGGUUUAUGGUUGGGGGAACCAUGGAGCCGGCUUAGCUUCCGCGGCUUUGGCCCCGCCCCAGCAGGGUCCCCAGGCUUGCCCAGCUGCCACAGGUCACCGCAUCUUGCUUCAGGCCGGGCAGGAAAGCACUUGUUUCUCACGGGUGUGGGAGGCGGCUCAGACCACCAGGCACCAAGACAGGGGCCCUCCGCGGCGGGAGGCUGGGCUUGGGGGGCACAGGAAGGCAGCACCCCCUCUGGACGGGGUCUCCAUCCCUAACUGUGGCCCCUGGGGGGAGCCCCGCCUUUCACGGCUUCUGAAGGAGCCCCAUCAGGCCCCACCAAGGGGCACGGUGAGGGGAGGGCCCCUUACACUGUGUCAUUCUGCUAGUGGGGCAGACGGGGUGUCCAGGCCCCCAGGGAAGAGGGACCCUUUGAGGUGCCAGCGCUACCUGAAGCCUUGAAUGCCGUCAGCUCCACAGCCUAGGGACAGAGAGGGACCAUCAGGGGCGGGAGUGGGGAGGGGAGGCCCACUCUUCCCGCUUUCCCAGGGCCCUUGGUGCCCCGCCCCCGGGGUCCUUGGCAUUCAGGUGCAGCCAGCAACAAUCCCGACAUCGACAUCGUCAGUCUGGGAACAGAUCCCAGGGGAUGCCCCCACCCCAGCCCUACCAGAGUCCCUGCGGCUCCCCUGACGCCGCAGGCCACCCCUGCCAGGCCCUUGGCCAAGCCCAGGGGCCACACCCUGUCCGGCCUCACCGGUCUCUCGGGCUCCGCAAUGGAGGAGAAGGCUGUGGGG
rnacentral:lncRNA from 1 species